UACGAAGGGGGCUAGCGUUGCUCGGAAUUGCUGGGCGUAAAGGGAGCGUAGGCGGAUAUUUAAGUCGGGGGUGAAAGCCCAGGGCUCAACCCUGGAACUGCCUUCGAUACUGGAUAUCUAGAGUAUGGGAGAGGUGUGUGGAACUCCGAGUGUAGAGGUGAAAUUCGUAGAUAUUCGGAAGAACACCAGUGGCGAAGGCGACACACUGGCCCAUUACUGACGCUGAGGCUCGAAAGCGUGGGGAGCAAACAGG
rnacentral:rRNA from 1 species